AAUGUACUCCCUCCGUUCGGAAUUACUUGUCUCGGAAAUGGAUGUAUCUAGAACUAAAAUACGUCUAGAUACAUCCAUUUCUGCGACAAUUAAUUCCGAACGGAGGGAGUAUAUA
rnacentral:pre_miRNA from 1 species